rnacentral:lncRNA from 1 species
AGUUUACAUUACCACUAGCAGUAUAAAAGUGUUCCCUUUUCACCAAAUGCCCCCCAAUAUUUUUUAUUUUUUGCUGUUUUGAUUAUGGUCAUUCUUGCCAGAGUAAGCUGGCAUAGCAUUGUGAGUUUUUGGUUUUUUUUUUUUGAGAUGGAGUCCGCUCUGUCACCAGGCUGGAGUGCAGUGGUGUAACCUUGGCUCACUGCAACUUCCACCUUCUGGGUUCAAGGGAUUCUCCUGCCUCAGCCUCCCGAGUAGCUGGGACUACAGGUGCCCACCACCACUCCCGGCUAAUUUUUGUAUUUUUAGGACAGAUGGAGUUUCACCAUGUUGGCCAGGGUGGUCUUGAUCUCUUGACCUAGUGAUCUACCCGCCUCAGCCUCCCAAAGUGCUGGGAUUUCAGGUGUGAGCCACCGCUCCCAGCCUGACAUUGUGGUUUUGAUUUGCAUUUCCCUGAUCUUUAGUGAUGAUGAGCAUUUUUUCAUGUUUGUUGGCCAUUUUUUAUAUCUCCUUUUGAGAAUUGUCUAUUCAAGUCCUUAGCCCAUUAUUUGAAGGGAUUGGUUUUUUUCCUGUUAAUUUGAGUACCUUGUAGAUUCUGGUUAUUAGUCCUUUCUCAGACGUAUAGAUUGUGAAGAUUUUCUCCCAUUCCAUGGGUUGUCUGUUUACUCUGCUUAUUGUUUCUUUUGCUGUGCCAAAACGUUUUGGCUUGAUUAAGUCUCACCUUUUAAUCUUCAUUUUGUUGUUGUUGCACUUGCUUUUGGGUUCUUGGUCAUGAAGUCUCUGCCUAAGCCAAUGUGUAGAAGGGGUUUUCCAAUGUUACCUUCUAGAAUUUUUAUGGUUGCAGGUCUCAGAUUUAAGUUGACUUUUGUAUAAGGUAAGAGAUGGGAAUUCAGUUUCAUUUCUUGGGAUAUAGCUUGCCAAUUAUCCAAGCACCAUAUGUUGAGUAGGGUGUUCUUUCCCCACUUUAUAUUGUUUGCUUUGUCAAAGACCAGUUGGCUGUAAGUAUUUGAGUUUACUUCUGGGUUCUCUAUUAUGUUUCAUUGGUCUAUGUGCUUAUUUUUAUACCAGUAUUAUGCUGUUUUGCUGACUAUGGGUUUGUAGUAUAGAUUGAAGUCAGGUAAUGUAAUGCCUCCAGAUUUGUUCUUUCUGCUUAGUCUUGCUUUGGCUAUGUGGGCUCGUUUUUUUUUUCCCAUAUGAAUUUUAGAAUUAUCAGGAGCCACCAGGUGCUGCAGCAGCUUUGGGAUAACUUGAGGGCGCAUCCUGGGGAAGAAACACCUCCUGUCCAUGGUGCUAACUGCUGAGGACAGUGCUUCGGCGUGGCUUCUCCGUGGCCCAGCUUCUUUGGGGCGUUUUUCUUUCAUGGUUCAUCCAUAUGGCUCCAAAUGAAAAUUACAUUAAUUAUGGAUGAAGAGUAUUGUGUUGUGCAGAUAUACUGCAGUUUCUUCAUCCCUUCAUCUAUGGAUGGACAGGUUCCACAGUGUUGCCACGGAUGACCUGAUUUCAGUACCCAUGUCUGGCUGAAGAGUAUCUGGUUGUGACUGGAUACUGCAGUUUCUGGAUCUCAUCCUCUGUGGGUGGACAGGUUUCUCCAUCUUGCUGGUAGUGAACUGAUGUCCGGAAGUUUGAUGGCCGAAGAGUAUACCGUUGUGCAUAUAUCCUUCAAUUCCUGAUUUUAUCAUCUGUAGAAAGACAAAAAUCUUCAGACUGAUUUCCACAGUUUGAGAUCUAGUUUGCAUUACCUCCAAGAGAAUAGCCAUGUUUGCUUUUCUCUGCUGCCACACCAGCAUGUUAUGUUUUGACUUAGGACAAAUGGCCACUCUGACCAGCGUGUGAUGGCACCGGUACCUCAUCUCUGAUGAUUGGUGAUGUUGAGCAUUCCCCACGCCUGUUGGAAUGGCAAUCCCUUGGAAAUGUCUUCUCAAUAGUUACUACCCAUAGUUUGGUUUGUUGCAGGCUUUCACACUACUAAUCUGGGCUGAAUCCUUGAAUUACUUUGUCUACCAAGGGUUUCAAAGAACUUGAUAAACUUGUUCUAAUUAGCCAACAUAUUCAUCCAUGUUGUCCGUAUACCAGGUGUAAAAAUAAAACGUUUCUUAAUGCACACAGGACAUGGAAGGCAAUCUACACAUUUUCAGGUGUAGACUUUGCUUGUGACUCUUUUGUGAGGAAUAGUCAUUGUUACUUUAGGAAAACCCUGAGUUUAUCCAACUCUUGUUAGAAUUGGAUAAGUGUAAAAACCUACAAUAGAAUGCAAGUGUGAGAGCCAAUUCCUCUGGUAAAAUAAACUCAUAUUAUUAUUUAUAUAUGUCUGGUCAUUGUAUUAAUAAAAUCAGUUUGUUUUGGCUGAAACACAUGGUUGGCCUUUACAAUAGAUGUGAAAAUGGGCUUAUAGAUCAUUGCUCUUUAUUGUGAAUAUUAGGUUGUAUUUAUUGCCAAACUCUUUCAACAGCUUCUAAGCAGUGAAUUUUCAGUGCAUUGUUGUUGUUCUCCAAGUACAAGCAGCCACUUCAGUUUUACCACAUUCAUCUUCCACACACUGAUGAACCAUAUGGAGGCAGCAGGAAUUGAAGUAGAACCAGAGGGAGUAGUUAGGACAGACAUUCUGAUUCAUUCAUUCUGAUUCUCACUAUUGUCAGUCAGUAAAGGUUCAUUGAAUUUUUCUUCUGAUGAAUAAAAUGGUCAGUUUUCUCAGUGCAAUGGCUUACUUUUGGAAGAGCAGCUCUAAAGACUUUACUACUGAUUAGUAAAGUCUAAACUGCUUUCUGUAUUUUUUUUUAAAUUCAACUUUUAUUUUAGACUGAAUAAAAAUGUGCAGGUUUAUUGUGUGAUACUGAGUUUUGGGGUACGAUUGAAGCCAUCACUAAGGUAAUGAGCAUCUCACCUUCUCCUUCUGUUCACUCUGUUACAGAGAACAGACCCUCCCAGUCUUCAGUGCACUCUAAAUACUGGCUAAUUCUGGCCAAUGGAAGGCAUCUGUGGAAGAAAAAAGCCUCAGAUCAUGUGCUGUCUGUCUUUAUUCAGUGUGACAUAUUAGGUAAUGGUCACAGACACUCACCAUGGCCCCAGUUUUUAAUAACAUGACCCUGCUUUUGUGUUCCAGUAACUUCUGUUGUUUUCCCAAUCCUAAGUAUGAUAGAAACUUCCUGCUGCUGCUAAUCUCUGGGUUCCAUUUAAAAUCCUUCCAUCACAUGAAUACUAUGCUGUGUUCUAAAUUUUUCCAUAAUUAAAUACUUACAAUUAUUUUUGCCUACUUCUUUUGCCCCUUAGUGAUAUGUUUUAAAAACACUUAUAAUGUGUCACAAUAUAUUUAGCAAAUGUAGGGAAUGACAUUUUUACUUUCGUCAGCAUUUACACUAGCAUUUAUGGAGCGAUGCUAUAUAAAGUAUUUUUAGUAAUUUAAACGUUAUAUAACAGAUAUCCGUUGAUUCCUUUGUUUCUACGUAAAUAAGUAUACUUGAGAUAUUCAGUAAACAGUAUUGAAUACAUGUUUCAUUUGUAUAAUAUAAAAUUAUGAUUAUUCUUUUUAAACAGUACAUCAUAUUUGCUUGUUGGCUUUAUGAUAACUUAGAAAUAAUAUUCUGGAUUAACUGUGUGACUCAUGAGAAGAUUUGUGCAACUAUGUUUCCAAAUUUACUUGAUUUUCAAGACUUACACUAGAACUGUGAGAACAGGGUAAUAAAUAAGCAUAUGUAUUAAUAUCACCUUUGGUCAACUCUUGGGUAGCCCCAACGGUAGUGUAGGAAUUAACGUAAUUUUUCCUACUAAAAGUAUUGGAUUUGUUUUGAGAGACCACAGUUGAAAAUCAUUGACAUACAAAGUUUAAAAAUUGUUAGGUUAAAAAAUUUUAAAUGCAUUUGAAGUGGUUUUAUAGAAAAAUAAUUAUCUAACUUGGUUUAUAUUGACAGGUUGUUUUCUUGGAUAAGAACUAGACGAAGAGAAAGGGAGAUUAGUGAUAAAUGUCCAGGUUUUCAAGUUGAAAAGUAACAAUCAGUGUAUUACAACAGAUGGAUGUGAUGUCAAAUUACAAAUGCUGAAAACGUUAUAUGUAAUCAUGUAGCCAGAGUAAUCAUACAAGGCAAAGAACGGAAAGGCAUCCAAAUAGGAAAGAGGCUGGAAUGCAGUGGCACCAUCUCAGCUCACUGCAACCUCCGCCUCUGGGUUCAAGUGCUGCUCCUGCCUCAGUCUC